CAUUGACGCGCUCAGGCUCUGCGCCUCCGUUGCGUGGCCGUGGCCGGGCACGGGGGAGAGCGACUCACGGCACGGGAAGGGCACAAACCUGCGUUCCCGCGGAAAACCAGAUGGCCGUGAUUUGGGCCAUGGCUCCAGGAUCCAGCAGAUUACUGAGAAAAGAAGUCCACAAGCAGUCAGCCCUGCACAUGGCUGCUGUCUGCUGUGAGCAAGAGUUUCAUCGUCCCAUCCCGUGAGUUGCCUCUGACUGGGGCCUUUUUUAUGGUAUCUGUCAAUUAAAAGCAAAGCAGUUGAAUAGCUAA